GAGAAGAACGCAGCGAAAUGCGAUAAGUAGUGUGAAUUGCAGAAUUCAGUGAAUCAUCGAAUCUUUGAACGCACAUUGCGCCCCUCGGUAUUCCGUGGGGCAUGCCUGUUCGAGCGUCAUCUACACCCUCAAGCUCUGCUUGGUGUUGGGCGUCUGUCCCGCCUCCGCGCGUGGACUCGCCCCAAAUUCAUUGGCAGCGGUCCUUGCCUCCUCUCGCGCAGCACAUUGCGCUUCUCGAGGGGCUACGGCUCGCGUCCAACAAGCACAUUUACCGUCUUUGACCUCGGAUCAGGUAGGGAUACCCGCUGAACUUAAGCAUAUCAAUAAGCGGAGGA
rnacentral:misc_RNA from 1 species